rnacentral:lncRNA from 1 species
UAAAACCAGUCGUGAAAAAAAAACCGGGUUAAAAAAUCUUAUUUUAAACAUUGUACAAAGAGAAACUCACUAAAAUGAUCGUGUACACACGCACACCAUUCACAAUAAUUUUAUUUCAUAACAAAAUUAGAGAUCUCAAACGUUCGUAACUAUUAUACAGCAUGUUUAGUUUCAAAUUAGAUAUACGACCUAUAAAUGGCAACACUGUACGCCGUCGAGUAAGAGACGGUCCCCACUUCCCACGCUAGUGCGCCUGACUGUCACGGUUCUUAACUUACAACGGAUGCCUACUCCGACUGGGAUGGGGACAUUUAAAUGCUUGACUUACGUCACAAGAGUACUCAAACUCAUUUUUAUCACAGUUUGUUGUGGUAAUGAUCUUCGAUCUUUGAGUGUAUACUGUGUAUUAUUGGUGUUAUUAUUUAUCUUAUAUAUCCUAGUUUACUCUAUAUUUUUGUAUUUGAAAUUUUGGUGUUGUUUCCCGUAAAAACAUAUUUUGAAUUAUCCAUGAAAAGUUAUUUAUUAUAGUUGUACAUCGUACCUAUUGCAGGAGCUUAAAUAAGAAUAUAGAUUUAUAAGGUAGGUUAAAACGUUAAAAAUUUUAUUAUGUAUUAACGUAAUAAUAAAGUUUAUGACAUUUUAGAAUGGCAGGUACAGGCUGUAGUGUGGAAUAGGUACCUAUUAUUUAAAUUCUUACAAUAAAUUAUACAAGUAAUUCUGAUUCUCUAAGUAAGGUUUGAUGGAAAUUCAGUAUAAGCGACAAAUUUUCAGUGUAGAAUGGAGAUUGAAGACGUAGAUUUCCGUAAAUCUUGCAAUAACCGCUGGAUAAACGUGAACAACCGUUCCUGAUAAAUUUUGAAUACCAAUCCAACCAAAUAUCAACAGAUUUUCAUAAUUAGGCAUUAUAAUCCACUAAAUAUCUUUAUUUCAUAACUAUAUUUACUAUUCUCCAUACAUUAGACAUAAAAAUACCGAUUAAUCAUAUUACGAUUCAAAUUACUGUACUCUCG